rnacentral:misc_RNA from 1 species
GAUGAAGAACGUAGCGAAAUGCGAUAAGUAAUGUGAAUUGCAGAAUUCAGUGAAUCAUCGAGUCUUUGAACGCACAUUGCGCCCCUUGGUAUUCCGGGGGGCAUGCCUCUUCCAGCGUCAUUUCACCCCUCAAGCUCUGCUUGGUUUUGGGCCGCGCCGGCAACGGCGGGCCUCGAAAAUAGUGGCGACGCCAUCGUGCUCUCAGCGUAGUAAUUCUUCUCGCUGUUGGGUCCCGGUGGUCGUCCGCCAGCAACCCCCAACUUUCUUAAGUUUGACCUGGGAUGAGGUAGGGAUACCCGCUGAACUUAAGCAUAUCAAUAAGCGGAGGA